rnacentral:telomerase_RNA from 1 species
ACGCGUGGCGGGUGGAAGGCUCCGCUGUGUCUAACCCUAAUCGGGGGUAUUGAUGGUGCUGUCGCCGCGCUCCCUCCGCCCGCCCGCCCGCUGUUUUACUCGCUGACUUUCAGCGGGCGAGGGGAGCCGCCCCAGGGGGAGGCGGGCGGCGGGAGGGGGCCGGGGCGCUGAGGCGGUGUGGGGGGGACCGGGGGAGGGAGAGAGAGAAAGGGCCGGGAGCGGCUCUUCCACAAAAAAAAAACAACAACAAAACAAAAAAACGUCAGCGUGGGGUCCGCUCGCCCCGAACCGCCCUGGGGUCCCCGCUCGCACGGCCGCGGUCGGCCGGCACCCGCCAUUGCCGCCGCGAAGAGUUCGCCUCUGUCAGCCUCGGCGGCGCCCGGGAGCUGCGGCGCGGCCCCGCGCCCCCAGCACAGCAACACGGGAGCGGCGCCCCCGGGGCAACCCCCGCGCCCCCUGCGCCGUGGGGCGCGCGGACGGCGUCGCUCCCACACGC